GUUUGCAAAUUCAUGGAGAAAACCCAUUGUUAACGGUGCCAAAAAGUGAUUUCAAAAUCCCGCCUGUAAAAACCUAUCCAAGCAGCGUCCACUUAACCGCUAUUAAAAGCUACAGGAAUCCAAAUCCCAACGGAACGGGAUGCUUUUUUCGUUGGUACGAUUUACGGUAAUAGCGAUGAUGUUCAGAUCAGCGAGAGCUGGGGAAAUGAGGAAUUCCUGAUGGCAUUGUUGGCUCCGGAAACGCCGUUUGGAAUACAGGAUGAGCUAUGCGAGGAUCACUGUCAACCCUUGGAACAACCUUUUACUCCAAAAAAGUGCCGAAACAGCAUGGAUUAUAAAAAGUGUUGUGAUAUGAAUUAAAAGCUUUGUUGAAAAUGGUUAAGGAAUCAAUAAACGUACAUGAUUCAUGUUUUAUGUUGUGUAGCGAAAAAUAAAUCCGAGGGUAAAUACACAAUUACUCAAUCAAAA